GGCGAACUGCUCAGUAACACGUAGCUAACCUACCCUUAGGUCAAGGAUAACCUCGGGAAACUGAGGCUAAUACUUGAUAGGAGACUUGCCCUGGAAAGACUUGUCUCUUAAAUUCGAGCCCAAGGAUGGGGCUGCGGCGGAUUAGGUUGUUGGCGGGGUAAUAGCCCACCAAGCCAUCGAUCCGUAAGGGCUCUUAGCGGAGAGGCCCUGAGAGGGAAUCUGAGAAACUAUUCCCGGCUUUACGGAGUACAGCAGCUAGGAAUCUUCUGCAAUGCGCUUAAGCGUGACAGAGUGAACCGGAGUGUUCCUCAACUGAGGAACUUUUCUAUACUGUAAAAAGGUAUGGGAAUAAGGACUGGGUAAGACUAGUGCCAGCCGCCGCGGUAAUACUAGCGGUCCAAGUCGCAGCCAUCAUUACUGGGUCUAAAACAUCCGUAGCUUGUUUGAUUAGUUCUCUGUGAAAUUUUACCUCUCAAAGGUCAAGCGUGCAGGGAAUACUGUCAAACUAGAGACUGGGAGGCGUAAGGAGUACGUUUAGGGUAACGGUAAAAUGUGUUAAUCCUAGACGGACUAACAACAGCGAAGGCACCUUACGAGAACAGUUCUGACAGUGAGGGAUGAAGGCUAGGGGCGCAAAACGGAUUAGAUACCCGUGUAGUCCUAGCAGUAAACACUGCACACUAAACUUUGUGAUCUCUUCGAGAGAUUGCAGAGCUGAAGGGAAGCCGAAGAGUGUGCUACCUGGGAAGUAUAGUCGCAAGGCCGAAACUUAAAGGAAUUGGCGGGGGAGCACUACAACCGGUGACGCGUGCGGUUCAAUUAGAUUAUACACCGUGAACCUUACCAGGACCGACAGCAGGAUGAAGGUCAGUCUAAAGGGCUUACCUGACACGCUGAGAGGGGUUGCAUGGCCGACGUCAGCCUGUGCUGUGAAGUGACCUGUCAAAUCAGGUAACAGGCAAGACCCGCAUCUUUAUUUAC
rnacentral:rRNA from 1 species